rnacentral:rRNA from 1 species
UAUACUGGAGGAAAGGUGGGGAUGACGUCAAGUCAUCAUGGCCCUUACGGCCUGGGCUACACACGUGCUACAAUGGUCGGUACAGAGGGUCGCCAAGCCGCGAGGUGGAGCUAAUCUCACAAAACCGAUCGUAGUCCGGAUCGCAGUCUGCAACUCGACUGCGUGAAGUCGGAAUCGCUAGUAAUCGCGAAUCAGAAUGUCGCGGUGAAUACGUUCCCGGGCCUUGUACACACCGCCCGUCACACCAUGGGAGUGGGUUGCACCAGAAGUAGCUAGUCUAACCUUCGGGAGGACGGUUACCACGGUGUGAUCAUGACUGGGGUGAAGUCGAAGCACAACG